rnacentral:rRNA from 1 species
UGAGGAAUAUUGGACAAUGGGCGCAAGCCUGAUCCAGCCAUGCCGCGUGCAGGAAGACGCAUCUAUGGUGUGUAAACUGCUUUUGUACGGGAAGAAACACUCCUACGUGUAGGAGCUUGACGGUACCGUAAGAAUAAGGAUCGGCUAACUCCGUG